rnacentral:rRNA from 1 species
AUUGAACGCUAGCGGGAUGCUUUACACAUGCAAGUCGAGCGAGCGGCGGACGGGUGUGUAAUGUAUGGGGACUGCCCGCUAGAGGGGGAUAACUACUGGAAAAGGUAGCGAAUACCGCAUACUAUCGGAUAACCCAUAUGGGAUUAGCUAGUAGGUGAGGUAAUGGCUCACCUAGGCGACGAUCCCUAGCUGGUCUGUGAGGAGGAUCAGCCACACUGGGACUGAGACACGGCCCAGACUCCUACGGAGGCAGCAGUGGGGAAUAUUGCACAAUGGGCGAAAGCCUGAUGCAGCCAGGCCGCGUGUAUGAAGAAGGCCCUAGGGUUGUAAAGUACUUUCAGUCGGGAGGCGUUACCGACAGAAGAAGCACCGGCUAACUCCGUGCCAGCCGCCGCGGUAAUAC